rnacentral:rRNA from 1 species
UACGGAGGGUGCGAGCGUUGUCCGGAAUCACUGGGCGUAAAGGGCGCGUAGGCGGCGCGGGAAGUCCGUGGUGAAAGCCCGAGGCUCAACUUCGGGUCGGCCAUGGAUACUCCUGGGCUCGAGCACUGUAGAGGCAGGUGGAAUUCCGGGUGUAGCGGUGGAAUGCGUAGAGAUCCGGAAGAACACCGGUGGCGAAGGCGGCAUCCUGGACCAAUAUUGACGCUGAGGAGCGAAAGCCAGGGGAGCAAAGCGGG